UACGUAGGGUCCGAGCGUUGUCCGGAAUUAUUGGGCGUAAAGGGCUCGUAGGCGGUUUGUCGCGUCGGGAGUGAAAACACGGGGCUUAACCCCGUGCCUGCUUCCGAUACGGGCAGACUAGAGGUAUGCAGGGGAGAACGGAAUUCCUGGUGUAGCGGUGAAAUGCGCAGAUAUCAGGAGGAACACCGAUGGCGAAGGCAGGUCUCUGGGCAUUAACUGACGCUGAGGAGCGAAAGCGUGGGGAGCGAACAGG
rnacentral:rRNA from 1 species